rnacentral:rRNA from 1 species
CGCUAGCGAUAGGCCUAACACAUGCAAGUCGAGGGGUAACAGGGUAGCAAUACCGCUGACGACCGGCGCACGGGUGAGUAACGCGUAUGCAACCUGCCUAUAACUGGGGAAUAGCUCCCUGAAAGGGGGAAUUAACACCGCAUAACACUAUUGAUUCGCAUGGAUUGGUAGUUAAAUAUAGCGAUACAGGUUAUAGAUGGGCAUGCGUGACAUUAGCUAGUUGGUGAGGUAACGGCUCACCAAGGCUACGAUGUCUAGGGGUUCUGAGAGGAAGGUCCCCCCACACUGGUACUGAGACACGGACCAGACUCCUACGGGAGGCAGCAGUGAGGAAUAUUGGUCAAUGGGCGCAAGCCUGAACCAGCCAUGUCGCGUGCAGGAAGAACCUGCCCUAUGGGUUGUAAACUGCUUUUAUAGUAGAAGAAACACAUCUACGUGUAGAUGUCUGCCAGUAUACUAUGAAUAAGCAUCGGCUAACUCCGUGCCAGCCGCGGC